CUGAGGUCCUCAAACAUUUUAAGCCCAGAAUUUGUUUUGUUUUGUUGAGACAGGGUCUCACUAUGUAGUUGAGACUGACCUGGAACUCACUAUGUAGCCCAGGCUGGUUUCGAACUCACAGCGACCCUCCGGCCUCAGCCUCCCGAGUGCUGGGAUGACAGGCGUGAGCCAUCAGGCCCGGCUUCUUUAUUUAAAAAGGUACUGACCGCCAACCAUUAGUGGAAAAGAUAGCUCCGGUUCUGGUCCGGGCCAUGCAGAAGCAUUAGCGGGGAGGGAGCAAGAAGCGGGAUCUUCCGCAAUCCACUCCCUCUGCCACUUCUCACCUUCCUCCAGCAUACGACAGCUCCCGGCCGGACUCUUCUUCCUCGCCAGCCCAUCUGAGCCCGCAGUGCUAGGCCCUAGAACAUGAGCCAAGCCUGCCUAGCAACACUGUCUCCCUAGCCACAGCCACCCCGUCCGCAAGGCCUCAUCCAUGAUCUGGGUGAAAAAGCCACUACCGAGUUCCGAGAAGACGACAGACAACCUGCCACAGCAAUAAGCUCUAGCUUAGAAUUGUACCCAAUGCCGCCAAACAGCAGCAACAGCGGUCGCACAAAGUGGACGCGUCAUUUCCGGUCAUGCGCAGAAGCCCCACCAUUGCCCACUGGCCUCCAUUUCCCAGAAGUCUGUUUCAGGCACAAGCUCUUCCUCCAACAGUAUGAAGGAGAUAGACCAAGAUCAACAACCCCAUCAAGGGACCCCAGAUACAAUCUGACUAAAGGCAACUUCCAAGGCUGGAUGUGGUUGUGCACAGAGCACACCGUGCCAGGCCAGAGGCCCUCAGCUCCAGAAUAACCUGGGAACCUUAGGCAAACACGAAACGGACCGGUGGACAGGAACCAAGACAGAUGACCUGACCCCAGAAGUUAGUUCCAGUUUCCUCCUUCUCCGCCCCGCUUCUGGGUCCUUUACUCCCGCAGAGAGCUGCUGUCCCAGCUCUUCGGAGCCAGCCGCCUCCCUCGGUCUUUCUCUCCAGUAAAACCUGUCCUGGCUGCAACUCUUUCUCUCUUCUUUAUUUCUUACAAAAAGUACCAUCCUAAGGAAGCCAGACUCUCCUGCCCUGUCGGGAUUCCUGGGAUUAGGGCGUGGUAUUCCUAUGCACCCUCUGAAUUGGGAUUUAAAGAAAAACAAGUUCUUCCCAGGCUUGGGCAGCUCCCCUCCCCAAGGUCAACCCCUGUCCUGUGUAGCUGUAACUCCUUGUUCUCAUACAGAUAAAUUAACAACUAGUCACUGUAAAUAAAGUUAUGACACUGUUCUCAUAUGAUUCAUAAGACAUGGUCUUCUUUCAAGGCUAAGUUUUUUGUUUUUGUUUUUGUUUUCUGUGUUUUGUUUUGUUUUCGUUUUGGUUUUUUUGAGACAGGGUCUCACUAUGUAGUUGAGGCUGACCUGGAACUCACUAUGUAGCCCAGGCUGGUCUCAAACUCACAGCGAUCCUCCUGCCUCAGCCUCCCGAGUACUGGGAUUGCAGGCGUGUGCCACCAUCUGUCUUUGUUUUGUUUUGUUUUUUUAAAUUGUUUUCCAGUACCGGGAAUCCAUCUCAGGACCUUCACUUGCCAAGCAGGCUCACGCCACUGGGCUGAAUCCACACUUUGUGUUGGGUCCUCAACACAAAGUUACAAAACUGUCUGCUCUUAUCCUGUUCCAGUAAACUUGCUACAUCUCUGGAGAAACCACCCGCUUGGACAAAAUGUACAAAAGCUGGAACUUUUCUUUGUUCAGCGCUCAGCCACGUUGGACAGAGAGGCCUCUGAGCCUGUGUAUACACCUUAAAUGAAUCCUCCUGACUCCCACUUGGUCUCUCCUGUCUCUCGGAAUUCUGAAACAUUUUGGCAAUUAAAGCGAAUCCCAGAGGCCAGGCCCACCUCCCCAAACAGUGGGAUUAAUCCAGGACUUCAGUGAAAUGACGCCUAGGUCAGAGAGAUCCUAGUGGAUUCUAUCAGCAGCACUUUACAAGGGGGAAGAUGAAGAAGUUUCUUAGGUAGGAAAGAAAAACCUGAUGUCCUAUCUUAAAUAACAC
ensembl:lincRNA